UACGUAGGGUGCGAGCGUUGUCCGGAAUUAUUGGGCGUAAAGAGCUCGUAGGCGGUUUGUUGCGUCUAUCGUGAAAACCUGCAGCUUAACUGUGGGCUUGCGGUGGAUACGGGCAGACUUGAGUUCGGUAGGGGAGACUGGAAUUCCUGGUGUAGCGGUGAAAUGCGCAGAUAUCAGGAGGAACACCGGUGGCGAAGGCGGGGUCUCUGGGCCGAUACUGACGCUGAGGAGCGAAAGCGUGGGGAGCGAACAGG
rnacentral:rRNA from 1 species